UCCGUAGGUGAACCUGCGGAAGGAUCAUUGUCGAAGCCUAAAAAGCACGACCGCGAACGACUUUAUAAUCGGGGAAGUGUUGAGAGGCCCUCGGGCUGCUGGGCACGACCUUGUUCGGCCGGCGAGAAGACAUGCGCUGCUCGUCUGUUGAAACUAACGAACCCCGGCGCGGAUAGCGCCAAGGAAUCAAAACGAAAAGAACUCGGGCCUCCGACCCGUUGAUCGGGUUCGGAGUCUCAUGUCUAUUCAAAAAAUAUCAUAACGACUCUCGGCAACGGAUAUCUCGGCUCUCGCAUCGAUGAAGAACGUAGCAAAAUGCGAUACUUGGUGUGAAUUGCAGAAUCCCGUGAAUCAUCGAGUCUUUGAACGCAAGUUGCGCCCGAAGCCUUUAGGCCGAGGGCACGUCUGCCUGGGCGUCAUGCACUGCGAUGCCCCCCAAACAAGCUUUGCGGGGGCGGAUCUUGGCCUCCCGUUGGUCCAACUCGCGGAUGGCUUAAAAAAGAGCCUCGAGACGGAAGAUCGUCGCGACAAGUGGUGGUUAGGAGGCCUUCGGCCUUAGAACUUAGCGUGUCGCGACCCCUCCGCUUCAGUGCACGAUAAAAGACCUUAUCGGGGCGCGUCCGUCGCGCUUCCAGCAUCGUGACCCCAGGUCAGGCGGGACUACCCGCUGAGUUAA
rnacentral:rRNA from 1 species